GAGUUUGAUCCUGGCUCAGGAUGAACGCUAGCGGGAGGCUUAACACAUGCAAGUCGAGGGGCAGCAUAGGGUAGCAAUACUCUGAUGGCGACCGGCAAACGGGUGAGUAACGCGUAUGUAACCUACCCUGUACAGGGGGAUAACCCGGAGAAAUUCGGACUAAUAUCCCAUAACAAUAUCCGGGGGCAUCUUUGGAUAUUUAAAGUUCCGGCGGUACGGGAUGGGCAUGCGUAACAUUAGCUAGUUGGUAAGGUAACGGCUUACCAAGGCUUUGAUGUUUAGGGGUCCUGAGAGGGUGGUCCCCCACACUGGUACUGAGACACGGACCAGACUCCUACGGGAGGCAGCAGUGAGGAAUAUUGGUCAAUGGACGAGAGUCUGAACCAGCCAAGUAGCGUGAAGGAUGAAGGCCCUAUGGGUCGUAAACUUCUUUUAUAGGGGAAUAAAGUGCGGAACGUGUUCCGCUUUGUAUGUACCCUACGAAUAAGGAUCGGCUAACUCCGUGCCAGCAGCCGCGGUAAUACGGAGGAUCCGAGCGUUAUCCGGAUUUAUUGGGUUUAAAGGGAGCGUAGGUGGACGUAUAA
rnacentral:rRNA from 1 species